rnacentral:lncRNA from 1 species
ACUCAUUUUCUAUUGUUGGAUACUUUUUCUUUUUUAAAGAUUUUAUUUAUUAAUCAUGAGAGACACACAGAGAGAGGCAGAGGCACAGGCAGAGGGAAAAGCAGACAGAGAGAUGGAGCAGGAGAUCCAUGCAGGGAGCCGGAUACAGGACUCGAUCCCCGGGCUCCGGGAUCAUGCCCUGAGCCAAAGGCCGACGCUCAACCACUGAGCCACCCAGGUGUCCCUAUUGGACACUUUUUUAUUAGCCCUGUUUUCAAGCUCAAUAUCUUCAUUACAAUGCAGCUUUCUUUCUUUUUUUCUUUCUUGUAUCAUACAGCUUUAGUAUUAAAACCAAAUAAAAAUACCAUGAAACAAGCUAGUAAAAGGCAUUUAUUCUGAAAAGCAAGUGUAGUGUAGUGUACAUUCUGGGAUCAAAACAAAAUCAACCUGAAUUCUUAUUUAUUCUGCUGCACAAUAAAAGGUAAUAUUCAAGAUGACAAUAUUCAGGCAGUGUAUGAUUUUUCAAACACAAAAGAUCUCAUUAUAUUUAUAGCAUAAUGUCCUUAAAAAGAUGGAAGAAAUAAACUAAAAUUCAGAUCAGGAAGAUCUCAAUAAAGCUUGAAAUUAACAGGUCUUCUUGUCUAGUAAUUGUUAGAAAGACCUGCCAGAUACCUCAACAUUCUAUGCCAGGAACAUUUUUAUUGCGAAGUACCACUAAGUACCAAAUGAUAACAUGACUAUACAUAAAAUACAUAUGAUUAUAUAAAAAUGUGUACAUAUCAUAUAUAACAUUUAUUAAACCAAUUGGUGAUCAGUGCUCUUGCUUUGGAGACCCUGAAUUUCAGCAGACUUGAAAUAUUACAUAUUCAACACCCUUGAGAAGCCCUAAUUAUACAACUCGCCUACUGGGUGACCUUUGAAGUCAACUCACUGAAACCUCAGUCUCCAGAUUUGUAAAAUGGAGAUAACAUCUUCCAAUAGCUCCACAGAAUGAGGAAUAUAUCCAAGAACCCUUCAUAAACAGUAAAGCCCUAUCUCUCCGCAAGGACAGCCUUAUGAUUAAUGGACGAUCAUGGAAAGAGGUGUUUUUGUGCUUGUUGCAUCUAUUUGUAAUUGUUACUGUUGUAAGAUGGUGCUUGUAAAAAAUAGUUGACCUUUAGAGGUGGGUGUAUCAAUGGCACCAGUUAAAGGAACAUUAACUAAUUGAUCUGGGAAAGUUUUUUUUUCUUUUAAAGAUUUUAUUUAUUGGACAGAGGGGGAGCACAAGCAGAGGGAGGGGGCAGAGGGAGAGGUUGAAGCAGGCUCCCUGCUGAGCAAGGAGUCCAUUGAGGCGCUUCAUCCCAGGACCCUGGGAUCAUGACCUGAGAUGAUGGUAGACACUUAACCGACUGAGCCACCCAGAUCCUCCUAACUUGGAAAAGUUUUAUUACUUUCUCUGUGCCAGGCAGUGUUCUAGAUUCUGGAGACACAACAGUGUACAAAACCUGGAGCUGGUGGCGAAAUGGUCAUGCAUUCAGUUGUUUGAUACGCCUAAUAUGAGCACUUCCUAUAGCAGAGGAAGCUAGUCAGGAGAGUGCUCCACCUCCCCAGCCUAUACUCUUUUUCACAUUUAUAGCUUAAAGUUUGUCUUGCAAAGCAUGUGAAGAAACAUUGAGCAAUGUUCAUACAGAGUGUGAAGAAUGAGGAUGUGGAUAAAUUAUCACAUCUAGAAAUUUGGAGACAAAAACCACUUCCUAACGUGCUUUUUACAAAGCAAUAACAUUGCAACGAUCAUGAAUAGAUGCCAAAAACACCUCUUACCAUGAUUUUUCAUUAAUGAUAAGGCUAUCCUUGUGGAGACAUAGGGCUUUACUGUUUACAAAGGGCUUUUGGAUACAUUCCUCAUUCUGUGGAAUGGUUGGAGAAUGUUAUCUCCACUUUACAAAUCUGGAGACUGAGGUGUCAGUGGGUUUUCAAGUGUCACACAGUAAGUAAGUUACAUAAUUCAGACUGAGACUCACAUCUUCAAGCAAUUCAUGAACAUUGAUUUCGUGGGCACCUUGAUAUUACACUCUUCAUGGGUUUUGCUGGUUUGGCAUGGGACCAUGAUCCCUGGAGAUUUUACUUUCUCAAAUUAUUACAGUUAAAGUGGCAUGUGCUGAUUUGAUGGAUAUUCUGAUGUCCUGAUGGUGAGAAUUCCAGGAGAGUCCUGAGUAAUAUAUAGAACACACUGAGUUACUGGAAGUUCCGGCAUUUGGAUCUGAGCUAAUGCCUAGGUUCUGACCUAUUUCAUUCAUUACCAGAGUAGGUGUCAGAUUUCAUAAGAGGAGGAUGAUAAAUUGCAAAAACCAUUAUCCUGGCUAAAUUCCAAAGCCAACAUUCAUAUAUUAGCAAUUUUCAAAUGGACAAAGUUAAUUCUUUAGAAAAUAAAAUCAGUACUGGACAGUACUUUCUUUGGAUCUCAUAACCCUGGAUGGAGAACUCCAUUCACCCGGUAUGGGCUCUAUAUCGGGUGGUACAUAUGGGGCAAUAUAAUAUUGUACCUGAAAGUUUUGCAAAAGGAGUUGUUGUUUAUCUGGGGAUGGUGGUCAACAGCACCAGCUCCUGAGGACAUUUGACACAAGCACAUACACAAAAAGCCUUUGGAUUUCUAAGUAGAACUCUCCAUGGAAAUGAUCUAGACCAAUUUUUUAUCGACAAUGACUUUUUUCAUUCUAAUACGACCAUCUGGAAUUUUGUGGGUGUGAAUUUAACCCAUGUUUAAAGAUGUAUACAUACAGGAUGUGUACAGACUGGUUAUUUGUGAAAUUAUUCUAUCUUGUCACAUGAUUUUACAGGAUGAAAUUAGAAACAAAAGCCCUCAGAAAAUAAGCCUUCGAGGGUUCUCCUAAAGUGAGGAGAUCCAUUUGAAUCAAAUGCUGAUAGCCAGUCUAGUUGCUCAUUUGCAGUCUGAAAGUGGAAGAGGCACCACUGCUUUUGGAGAAGCUCCUGAUUUCUUGCUUUUAUGUAAGGUUUACAAGUUUCAAAAUGCUUUCACAAUUUUUAAUUUGUUUGUUUUUCACAAAAGUACUCUGUGUGGUGGAAGGGGGUAAAACAAUUCUCAUUUAAAAGAGGAAACUUUGACUCAGGAAAGAUAACUAUGAAACCUAAGGUCAAAAUCAGCUGAAAUUCAGGUCUUGGUAUUGGAAAUUCAGCUCUUAGCCCUCUAGGCCCAUUUUCUUUAGAUACAGAAAUCUCCCCUUCCCUCCAAAUUAGGUGCUAGGACUUUGCACUGGAGUAGUUUUAAAUUGCCACUGGGAAAGCUGGUAAUUGCAAAACAGGAAGUAAGAGAAUGUGAUAACUCUGAUUUCAGCAUUAAUUAUGCAUCAAAGAGUAAGAAGUGAGUCAACGGGAUAGCCAAAAGUAUAUGUGACACACCACUCACUGUAAUAGCUGACUUUGGGGCCUGGUAGCAGCAUCCUCACUUAGAAAGUAUUUUUAUAGGGAUAUGGUUCUCAGGUUUGACCCCUCCAGGAUGAUGGAAGUCUGUCUGGUUUCCAGAAGCUGACCUAGGGUGUUCUGUGCCCCAAGCUUCUUAAUUCUGGUGAAAGGAGUACAGUGGUCCAAAGGACUCAGGU